rnacentral:tRNA from 1 species
GGGCGGUUAGCUCAGCUGGCUAGAGCGCCACGUUGACAUCGUGGAGGUCACAGGUUCAAGUCCUGUAUCGCCCACCA